GACAAAACCCUUCCUGGGCCACGUAUGUCAAGCUGAGGAAACCACUUCUCCUUCAGGAUGCCCUCCAAUUGGGUUCUGUCCCCCAAACUUUUGGACGCUCUGGAAAGCACCUGUGGCCCCAGAGAGCAGACACUCAUAAGCCUUAAAGGAACACAAAGUCCCCUCCACCCCCAGGAGUAGUCCCCAUGUCACAGAUGGAGAAAUUGAGGUGAAGGCUCCACUGUGUGGGAGUGAAGCAGUGGCGACGGGCAGCAGCGCUUCGUGAUCCUGAUUUCUUCCACCCCAGGCAAGAAGUGCCCACCAUGGGUACCACCACCACCCCCCCGAGGACUAAAUGAGCAGCAGGGAGUGACAAACAGUCAGGUGCACCUAAGUUCCAGCCAAGCUCUACCAUCGACACUCUAUGACUUGGGCAGGACCCCAGGGAAGAUGAUUCAAGCAAUGCUGAGGAGGCUGCACUCUGCCCACCCACUCCAGCCCAAUCAUCCAAGGGAAAUGCCAAAGCUACCCCACAGAGUAGAAGGUUGCCUCCCCGCCAUUCCUGCCUCAGCUGCCCUCCCUCUGCAGGGCUCUAACCAGCUGCAGGCCACCAACCACUAGGGACUGGGAGCUGCUGCUGACCCUGCCCUCUCUGGGGAGGGGCCUCAAACAGAAUGCAAGUUGGCAAUCAGAUGUCCAGCCUAGGAGGAAAAGAACCAAGCGAAGACAGUAGGGAGUGACCUUGUGGCUCAAGGGGACAAACUGCAGCUGGGAUUAUUGGGGAAGAAAGAGGAGCCCAUUCCAGGGAAACCAGCUGUCCAGCAGCCUGGCCUCCUGGAAGCCUCCAGAGCCUGUCCUCUGGGGUGUGGUCCUGCUCUCAGCAGGAAAUAACAGAUUCCCACUUCAUGCCCUGAGGGCACCAAAGGGGCUGCAGAUUGUUAACAGCCCCCCUCCCUGUGCAAUAGUGUGUCUGUGUGAGGUACAAGUACAUGUAAGGCCAUCACCAAAACUACACAGGACAGCAGCAA